GUGAUAGCCCUGGAAACUGAAGCCAUCUAUUCACAGAACAGGUACAUCCAAAGCAGCAGCCGUGCAAGCUGCAGUCACAUCCUUGGGGCUUGACCCUGAUUUGGAGGAACAAACUUGGAGGGUGAUAGAUUAGUUCAGCUUUUGUGCCCUUUGAAUCCCUGGCCUUU
rnacentral:sRNA from 1 species